rnacentral:rRNA from 1 species
GUGACUCUGCGAGAAGUCCAUUGAACCUUAUCAUUUAGAGGAAGGAGAAGUCGUAACAAGGUUUCCGUAGGUGAACCUGCGGAAGGAUCAUUGUCGAGACCGAAAUAUAUCGAGCGAUUCGGAGAACCUGUGAAUUAAGCGGCGGCAUCUGCUGUUGCAAAAAAGCCGUCCCAGUUGUUCGCCUCGGCUUAAUUGAGGGGCAACGAUGAAGGAUGGAUGAAAAUUCAAACCGGCGCAGUUUCGCGCCAAGGGAAUAUCGAAGAACACGAGCCCUUCAUCGGGCUUAGCGGCGUGGAGUGUCUUUGCACACCAUGCGGGUUAACAUGACUCUCGGCAAUGGAUAUCUCGGCUCUCGCAUCGAUGAAGAGCGCAGCGAAAUGCGAUACGUGGUGCGAAUUGCAGAAUCCCGUGAACCAUCGAGUUUUUGAACGCAAGUUGCGCCCGAGGCCAGCCGGCCAAGGGCACGUCCGCCUGGGCGUCAAGCGUUGCGCCGCUCCGUGCCAACUGCAUCACACCUAUGGGUGUGUCGGCCAAGGCCCGGACGUGCAGAGUGGCUCAUCGUGCCAAUCGGUGCGGCGGGUUGAAGAGCGGGUUAUCGUCUCAUUGGCCACGAACAAUAAGGGGUGGAUGAAAUCUGUGAGCAAGGCCUACUUUGUCUCGUGUUGGCCAGAGAAAAGAUUGUCCCUUUAAGUUGAUCCUGACCCAUGUGCCGAUACACAGGCGGCAGCUUGGAAUGCGACCCCAGGAUGGGCGAGGCCACCCGCUGAGUU